rfam:Pteropus alecto contig96195, whole genome shotgun sequence.
AUACUUACGUGGCAGGGGAGAUGCCAUGAUCACGAAGGUGGUCCCAGAGCAAGGCUUAUCCAUUGCACUCUGGAUGUGCCGACCCCUGCGAUUUCCCCAAAUGUGAGAAACUCGACUGCAUCAUUUGGGGGACUGGGGGACUGUGUUCGUGCUCUCCCCUG